CGGGUCGAAAGACUCGCUAAUACCGCAUAUGACGAAAGUUGAAAGGAGUAAUCCGUCUAAAGAUGAGCCCGCGUCCGAUUAGCUAGUUGGUAGAGUAAAAGCCUACCAAGGCGACGAUCGGUAGCUGGUCUGAGAGGAUGAUCAGCCACAAUGGGACUGAGACACGGCCCAUACUCCUACGGGAGGCAGCAGUGGGGAAUUUUACGCAAUGGGCGAAAGCCUGACGUAGCGACACCGCGUGAGCGAAGAAGCCCCUUGGGGUGUAAAGCUCUGUCAGCUGGAACGAAAAAAUGACGGUACCAGCAGAGGAAGCAUCGGCUAACUACGUG
rnacentral:rRNA from 1 species